AAUAUAUUAGGACCGUCGGUCUACUGAUCAAACAUCACCCGCUCGGUGGAAAAUCUUCCCUUUGUCGU
rnacentral:pre_miRNA from 1 species